rnacentral:rRNA from 1 species
AACGAACGCUGGCGGCAUGCCUAACACAUGCAAGUCGAACGAGACCUUCGGGUCUAGUGGCGCACGGGUGCGUAACGCGUGGGAACCUGCCUUUAGGUUCGGAAUAACAGUGAGAAAUUACUGCUAAUACCGGAUGAUGUCUUCGGACCAAAGAUUUAUCGCCUUUAGAUGGGCCCGCGUUGGAUUAGCUAGUUGGUGGGGUAAAGGCCUACCAAGGCGACGAUCCAUAGCUGGUCUGAGAGGAUGAUCAGCCACACUGGGACUGAGACACGGCCCAGACUCCUACGGGAGGCAGCAGUGGGGAAUAUUGGACAAUGGGCGAAAGCCUGAUCCAGCAAUGCCGCGUGAGUGAUGAAGGCCUUAGGUUGUAAAGCUCUUUACCCGAGAUGAUAAUGACAGUAUCGGGAGAAUAAGCUCCGGCUAACUCCGUG